rnacentral:rRNA from 1 species
CGUGUAGGCGGUUUGGUAAGUCGGGUGUGAAAGCCCUCAGCUCAACUGAGGAAGUGCGCUCGAAACUGCUUAACUUGAGUACCUGAGGGGGUGGCGGAAUUCCCGAAGUAGAGGUGAAAUUCGUAGAUAUCGGGAGGAACACCAGUGGCGAAGGCGGCCACCUGGAAGGUAACUGACGCUGAGACGCGAAAGCGUGGGUAGCAAACA